rnacentral:rRNA from 1 species
AGCGGAGGGAUCAUUACAGAGUUUUCUAAACUCCCAACCCUAUGUGGACUUACCUUUGUUGCUUCGGCGGCGGAGGUCGCCCUGCAGGUCAAGGCGCUGGUUGUAUCCCCGUGUUUCUCACAAUGCGCCAGCUGCCCUACCCUGCAGUCCCGGUGAUGGUGCCAUCCCAGCGUUUCUCGCAAUGGGCCAGCUACCCGGUGACCCUCCCCGCCGGCGGCCAACUAAACUCUGUUUUACUUGGAACUCUGAAUCAUAAACUUAAUAAGUUAAAACUUUCAACAACGGAUCUCUUGGUUCUGGCAUCGAUGAAGAACGCAGCGAAAUGCGAUAAGUAAUGUGAAUUGCAGAAUUCAGUGAAUCAUCGAAUCUUUGAACGCACAUUGCGCCCAUUAGCAUUCUAGUGGGCAUGCCUGUUCGAGCGUCAUUUCACCACUUAAGCCCUGUUGCUUAGCGUUGGGAGCCUACGGCACGGCCCGCAGCUCCUUAAAGUGAUUGGCGGAGUCGGUCCUCACUCUAGGCGUAGUAAAUCUAUCUCGCUUCUGUAGUGGUUCCGGCCCCCGCCGUAAAACCCCCUAUAACAAAGGUUGACCUCGGAUCAGGUAGGAAUACCCGCUGAACUUAAGCAUAUCAAUAAGCGGAGGAAAAGAAACCAACAGGGAUUGCCCUAGUAACGGCGAGUGAAGCGGCAACAGCUCAAAUUUGAAAUCUGGCCUUCGGGUCCGAGUUGUAAUUUGUAGAGGAUGAUUUUGGCGCGGUGCCUUCCGAGUUCCCUGGAACGGGACGCCUUAGAGGGUGAGAGCCCCGUACGGUUGGACACCAAGCCUCUGUAAAUCUCCUUCGACGAGUCGAGUAGUUUGGGAAUGCUGCUCUAAAUGGGAGGUAAAUUUCUUCUAAAGCUAAAUACCGGCCAGAGACCGAUAGCGCACAAGUAGAGUGAUCGAAAGAUGAAAAGCACUUUGAAAAGAGGGUUAAAUAGCACGUGAAAUUGUUGAAAGGGAAGCAUUUACUACCAGACCUUUUCCCUGCGGAUCAUGCGGUGUUCUCACCGCUGCACUUCGCUUGGUUUAGGCCAGCAUCGGUUUUCGUGGGGGGAUAAAAGCCUUAGGAACGUAGCUCCCUCGGGAGUGUUAUAGCCUUUUGCAUAAUACCCCCACGGGGACCGAGGACCGCGCU